UACGUAGGGGGCGAGCGUUGUCCGGAGUUACUGGGCGUAAAGCGCACGCAGGCGGUCUGCUAAGUUUGGAGUGACAGUUGGUGGCUUAACUGCCAAAGUGCUUCGAAAACUGACAGACUUGAGGGCUUCAGAGGGACACGGAAUUCCGGGUGGAGUGGUGAAAUGCGUAGAGACCCGGAGGAACACCAGUGGCGAAGGCGGCUUCCUGGUCUGCAACUGACGCUGUGGCGCGAAAGCUAGGGGAGCAAACGGG
rnacentral:rRNA from 1 species